AUUGAACGCUGGCGGCAGGCUUAACACAUGCAAGUCGAGCGAGCGGCGGACGGGUGAGUAAUGUCUGGGAAACUGCCUGAUGGAGGGGGAUAACUACUGGAAACGGUAGCUAAUACCGCAUACCAUCAGAUGUGCCCAAAUGGGAUUAGCUAGUAGGGGGGGGAAUGGCUCACCUAGGCGACGAUCCCGAGCUGGUCUGCGGGGAUGACCAGCAACACUGGAACUGGGACAGGGGCCAGACUCCUACGGUAGGCAGCAGUGGGGAAUAUUGCACAAUGGGCGAAAGCCUGAGGCAGCCAUGCCGCGUGUGUGAAGAAGGCCUUCGGGUUGUAAAGCACUUUCAGCGAGGAGGCGUUACUCGCAGAAGAAGCACCGGCUAACUCCGUGCCAGCAGCCGCGGUAAUU
rnacentral:rRNA from 1 species